AUUGAACGCUGGCGGCAUGCCUUACACAUGCAAGUCGAACGGUAACAGGUCUUCGGAUGCUGACGAGUGGUGAACGGGUGAGUAAUACAUCGGAACGUGCCCGAGAGUGGGGGAUAACGAGGCGAAAGCUUUGCUAAUACCGCAUACGAUCCCAGGAUGAAGGCAGGGGACCGCAAGGCCUUGCGCUCACGGAGCGGCCGAUGGCAGAUUAGGUAGUUGGUGGGAUAAAAGCUUACCAAGCCGACGAUCUGUAGCUGGUCUGAGAGGACGACCAGCCACACUGGGACUGAGACACGGCCCAGACUCCUACGGGAGGCAGCAGUGGGGAAUUUUGGACAAUGGGCGCAAGCCUGAUCCAGCCAUGCCGCGUGCAGGAUGAAGGCCUUCGGGUUGUAAACUGCUUUUGUACGGAACGAAAAGACUCUGGUUAAUACCUGGGGUCCAUGACGGUACCGUAAGAAUAAGCACCGGCUAACUACGUGCCAGCCGCCGCGGUAAAAC
rnacentral:rRNA from 1 species